ACGGGAGGCAGCAGUGGGGAAUAUUGGGCAAUGGGCGAAAGCCUGACCCAGCAACGCCGCGUGAAGGAAGAAGGUCUUCGGAUUGUAAACUUCUUUUAUGAGGGACGAAGGACGUGACGGUACCUCAUGAAUAAGCCACGGCUAACUACGUGCCAGCAGCCGCGGUAAUACGUAGGUGGCAAGCGUUAUCCGGAUUUACUGGGUGUAAAGGGCGCGUAGGCGGGGAUGCAAGUCAGAUGUGAAAUCUAUGGGCUUAACUCAUAAACUGCAUUUGAAACUGUAUCUCUUGAGUGUCGGAGAGGUAGAUGGAAUUCCUUGUGUAGCGGUGAAAUGCGUAGAUAUAAGGAGGAACACCAGUGGCGAAAGCGACUUACUGGCCUGCAACUGACACUGAGGCACGAAAGCGUGGGGAGCAAACAGGAUUAGAUACCCUGGUA
rnacentral:rRNA from 1 species